GACGAACGCUGGCGGCGUGCUUAACACAUGCAAGUCGAACGGAAAGGCCCUGCUUUUGUGGGGUGCUCGAGUGGCGAACGGGUGAGUAACACGUGAGUAACCUGCCCUUGACUUUGGGAUAUCUUCAGGAAACUGGGGCUAAUACCGGAUAGGAGCUCCUGCUGCAUGGUGGGGGUUGGAAAGUUUCGGCGGUUGGGGAUGGACUCGCGGCUUAUCAGCUUGUUGGUGGGGUAGUGGCUUACCAAGGCUUUGACGGGUAGCCGGCAUGAGAGGGUGACCGGCCACAUUGGGACUGAGAUACGGCCCAGACUCCUACGGGAGGCAGCAGUGGGGAAUAUUGCACAAUGGGCGGAAGCCUGAUGCAGCAACGCCGCGUGCGGGAUGACGGCCUUCGGGUUGUAAACCGCUUUCGCCUGUGACGAAGCGUGAGUGACGGUAAUGGGUAAAGAAGCACCGGCUAACUACGUG
rnacentral:rRNA from 1 species